rnacentral:rRNA from 1 species
GAUGAACGCUGGCGGCGUGCCUAAUACAUGCAAGUCGAGCGAACAGACGAGGAGCUUGCUCCUCUGACGUUAGCGGCGGACGGGUGAGUAACACGUGGAUAACCUACCUAUUAGACUGGGAUAACUUCGGGAAACCGGAGCUACUACCGGCUAAUAUCUUGAACCGCAUGGUUCCAUAGUGAAAGACGGCUUUGCUGUCACUUAUUGAUGGAUCCGCGCCGCAUUAGCUAGUUGGUAAGGUAACGGCUUACCAAGGCAACGAUGCGUAGCCGGCCUGAGAGGGUGAUCGGCCACACUGGAACUGAGACACGGUCCAGACUCCUACGGGAGGCAGCAGUAGGGAAUCUUCGGCAAUGGGCGAAAGCCUGACGGAGCAACGCCGCGUGAGUGAUGAAGGUCUUCGGAUCGUAAAACUCUGUUAUUAGGGAAGAACAAAUGUGUAAGUAACUAUGCACGUCUUGACGGUACCUAAUCAGAAAGCCACGGCUAACUACGUG